AAGUCAUUACAAAGAGGCCUUGUGGAAAUGAGACCAAGAGUUCUUAACACUGUGAUCAAAGAUUAAGAUUCUCCAUGGAAUGCCAUAGUCACUCAAUAGUGUUUUCUCCUGAGGAGAUACAAGA
ensembl:snoRNA